rnacentral:lncRNA from 1 species
AUCAUCAUAAGGAUGGUGAUAGAUCCAGAUAGACUGACGUACAAAUCACUUCCUUCGGGAUAGAUGAGUCUCUGGUCUAUUAUGUAGAGACAUAGGAUGACGAGUGUAGGUAGUUGUUAGAGAACAACUAGUACUGAGCGUGACCAUACGAAAGAUCACUUGGAUUUCUAUUCGAUUGUCAGUGAUUAUCUUGAUAUUGUAGUUGUGUGGC